AACUUUUCCCAGUCACGUGCAUAGCUCGUGGAAUGCCCGUUUCGAAAAAACCGAGGGGUUUUAGCUGGAUAACGUUUCUCUUUUUCUCGGCGGGUGGGCUUCAAUGGUGUCGUCUCUCGCGCUUCCGUUCUCUCCUAAGCCUCGAGAGAAUGCUCUCCUUCUACAGCCUUGCAAAGCUCCACCGCUUCCUUGCAGCAAAAGGAGGCUGUCUCUUCCCGUCAGAGCUUCUACUUCUACGCCGCCAUUCAGGAUCUUUGAGCCGUUGCAAGCUGAAGAAUCGUCCCUGCCGUCCGACACGGUGCUAGCGGAUCCUGAUUUUUACAGAAUAGGGUAUGCUCGGAGCAUGCGGGUGUAUGGGGUCGAGUUCAGGGAAGGACCUGAUGGCUUCGGAGUCUAUGCGUCUCGAGAUGUAGAGCCUCGUCGCAGAGCUAGGAUGAUUAUGGAAAUCCCAUUGGAGAUGAUGCUAACUAUUAGUCAGAAGCUUCCUUGGAUGUUUUUUCCAGAUAUUAUACCAAUAGGCCAUCCUAUAUUUGAUAUAAUCAGCUCAACCAAUCCUGAGACAGAUUGGGACUUGAGGUUGGCAUGCCUUCUUUUGUAUGCAUUUGAUGUGGAGGGCAACUUUUGGCAGCUUUAUGGCGAUUUUUUACCGGGUGCAGAUGAGUGUACUAGCUUACUUCUAGCUCAAAAGGAAGACCUUUUGGAGUUGCAAGACUCAGAAUUGGCUUCAAAAAUCGAUGAGCAGCAUUGUAGGGGUCUAGAAUUUUGGGAAAAGAAUUGGCACUCUGCUGCUCCUCUCAAGAUCAAGCGUCUUGCCCAUGAUCCUGAAAGAUUUAUUUGGGCUUUAAGCAUGGCUCAAUCACGUUCUAUUCAGAUGAAGAUAAGAGUUGGUGCUCUUGUUCAAGAUGCACACAUGCUAGUUCCAUAUGCUGAUAUGCUGAAUCAUUCCUUUCAGCCAAACUGUUUUCUCCAUUGGAGAUUCAAGGACCGUAUGCUUGAGGUGAUGAUCAAUGCUGGACAGAGAAUUAGCAAAGGAGAUGAGAUGACCAUCAACUAUAUGAGUGGGAAGAAGAAUAAUAUGUUCAUGGAAAGAUAUGGGUUUUCAUCUCCUACGAAUCCUUGGGAUGUAAUAAAUUUCUCAGGCAAUUCAAAGAUUCACCUUGAUUCCUUCUUAUCAGUCUUCAACAUCUCUGGCUUACCAGAAGAAUUCUAUCACAACUGUCACCUCACAAAUGAACAAGAUGCUAGCUUUGUUGAUGGAGCAGUGAUAGCGGCUGCAAGGACAUUGCCCAUAUGGACUGAUGUUGAUAUGCCUAUGGUUCCAAGCAUAGAGAGGAAAGCUGCUAGGGAGUUGCAGGAAGAAUGUUAUCAAAUGUUGUCAGAAUUUCAGACUACAUCUGAUCAAGAUCUCCAACUACUAGAAUCUGACCCAGAAGAAAGUAGAACACGUGAAGCAGCAAUCAAGUAUCGAUUGCACAGGAAGUUGUUUCUUGGGAAGGUCAUUCAAGCAUUAGAAAUUUAUCAGGACAGGAUAUUAUUUUAGCAGUGUAGCAUAAGCUGAUGAUGCAGUCCAUUGUGAAGGAAGGCAUGGACUUGGUGAAAGUACAAAUGGGGCUUAAUGCUAGAUUUGGGAAUGAAGUUUGAGCAUCAAAUGAAGGGGCUUAUACAAAGGUAGCGUUUAAAUGCUUAGGAUUCUAUCCAUUGCCAAGUUGCCCAUUUGGCAUGUUAAAAGGGAAUCCUUUUUUUUGGAUUAUGAGAUAGAAUUCACUGUAAUGAAUGACAAACAGAAAUAGUCUCUUCUGACUAAUGGCGCUCUCUCUCUCUCUCUCUCUCUCUCUGGAAAAGAGACACCUGGGGAUGUGUUUGGCCUACUAAUGUACUUUUUUGGAUGAGGGCGUUGGAAUAAUGGAAUCUGGUUCUACAGAAGCAACAUCAUGACAUUGCUGUUUGAACAGGUAUUAUUC